rnacentral:rRNA from 1 species
UACGGAGGGUGCAAGCGUUGUCCGGAUUUAUUGGGUUUAAAGGGUGCGUAGGCGGCCCGUUAAGUCAGUGGUGAAAGCCUCCAGCUCAACUGGAGAACUGCCAUUGAUACUGACGGGCUUGAGUACAGACGAGGUUGGCGGAAUUGAUUGUGUAGCGGUGAAAUGCAUAGAUACAAUCAAGAACACCGAUUGCGUAGGCAGCUAACUAGGCCGUAACUGACGCUGAGGCACGAAAGCGUGGGGAGCGAACAGG